rnacentral:tRNA from 1 species
GCCGUUAUGGCGGAAUAGGCAGACGCAAGGGACUUAAAAUCCCUCGAACAUUAGUUCAUAUCGGUUCGACUCCGAUUAACGGCACCA